GAUGAACGCUGGCGGCGUGCCUAAUACAUGCAAGUCGAGCGAACGGACGAGAAGCUUGCUUCUCUGAUGUUAGCGGCGGACGGGUGAGUAACACGUGGAUAACCUACCUAUAAGACUGGGAUAACUUCGGGACACCGGAGCUAAUACCGGAUAAUAUUUUGAACCGCAUGGUUCAAAAGUGAAAGACGGUCUUGCUGUCACUUAUAGAUGGAUCCGCGCUGCAUUAGCUAGUUGGUAAGGUAACGGCUUACCAAGGCAACGAUGCAUAGCCGACCUGACAGGGUGAUCGGCCACACUGGAACUGAGACACGGUCCAGACUCCUACGGGAGGCAGCAGUAGGGAAUCUUCCGCAAUGGGCGAAAGCCUGACGGAGCAACGCCGCGUGAGUGAUGAAGGUCUUCGGAUCGUAAAACUCUGUUAUUAGGGAAGAACAUAUGUGUAAGUAACUGUGCACAUCUUGACGGUACCUAAUCAGAAAGCCACGGCUAACUACGUG
rnacentral:rRNA from 1 species